GCACACUAUGGAAUGAUUAGAAACACAAAUAUAAAAUUAGCGAGUGGCCAAUUCACAAUGAAGCUAUGCGUAUUUGGUCACUAUUUAAUUAAGCAAGAUAAUUGUCCUUUCGAGAACAUCUCGAGAGCAGUGCCCGGGUUCUGUGGGUAGUGGACUGGAGUCCUUUGAUCUCUUUCGGCUCUAAGCAGCAAUUGAACCAAAAGUACCCAUAUAAUACAGCUGUAACCAUCUUUCCCUACUUUAUUUGUGACAUAGUCAGCUUUUAUAAUAUGCAUUUGAGUUUUGUUUUUCAGGUUAGCUGUGCCCAUUUUACACUGAUAUGAACGCAAUUAUGCAGUAUAUUCGUUGCUUGUUCACCAUCAGCUCCAAUCUUCACCUCAAUUUGGGAGAUUGUUAACUAUUCCCAAGAAUGUGUACCUUUGCUUUUCACUGCAUGUCUAUACCUCAGUCUGGAGAAACAUAUAUAUAGAAUGUCUCAUCAUGUGGUGGUUCUGAAACUCUCUUACACUGUUCUUGUGCAAAAUCGAAGGCUCUGCUGUUCUUCAAGGUAUUUCUGAAUUUUGACAACAUUAAUGAUCAUGCCCUCUGUUAGUUCAAGUCUUCAACAUGGCCCUCUGUUAGCAUCUUGAAGUAAUUAUGAAGUUCCAUGGUCAAUUGAUGUCAUGCUACAGAAAACUAAAAUCUGAGGUAUAACACAUCCAAAACAGAGGUCAGAAACCUUGCAUUGACGUCCAAAGAGAAUCACAUCUACAGUAAAAUAAACAUGAAAACUAAUCAAGGAUAGGCUGAUACAAAAACAUUGAGCAUGUUGGUUAGUACGCCUAAACAUAGAUAUAGAGUCUAAAACCAGAAAAGGGAACAGUUAGUGGAGUGACUUUAUCGAAUGAAGAACAAAUCAGGUAAGGUACAGAACGAUUUGAUAUGAUCAAUUACACAUUUACAUUUAAACGCUUCAUGUGGAGCAACUCUUUGCAAGGACUUACAUGAAGCAUUGCACAGCACAGACCGACUGUACGUAUUAUGCAUGAGAUGUAACAAUUGGCAGGAUGUAUCGCAUCACCUCUUAGUGCUUCCUGAAAUCAAGGGGCAUGCCUUAUUGUUGCAAUUGUAUAUAACAACUAAAGAGGAAGCCCCCAAAAGCACAGGUGCACUUAGCUUGGACAGUGUCAAAACUAAGAACUAUGGCAGGACGCCAUGAUCCAAAAAGUAAGACAAAAUUUUAGUCAAGUUACCUUUUUGCAAAGCAGGAAGAUAGAGCCAGGCAGUAUGCCAUGGUGGCCCGGAAGACAGCAAAAAAAACUGAUGUCAUGCUGAACUUUUAUUUGGUUCAAACACUACAUGAUGAGAAAGUUGUUUGCUCCAGCUCAUUCUGUUAUGAAUCUUAAUAGCAUUAGCAAGAAGACUAGAACAACUUCAUGUGGUCUUAUAUCAUGAGUUGAUUGGAAAUUACCUCACACCGUCACUACUAGUACUCACAAUGAUGAUGUACAUUUGAAAAUUCACACUGACUCCAAAUAUAGGUAGGCGUUGCAUAUGAAAAAUGUGUCUACGAGAUA
rnacentral:lncRNA from 1 species